GUGUCAUUAGGCUGUUGCUGUGACAUCAUAGAGCAAGCUUACACAAACCUAGAUGGUCUAGGCUACAUCAGUCACUCCACAGAACCUCUCAGUGCAACCGAGAGACAUGGUAAACAGAUGUAUGAGGCCCUGCAGUUGCUGUCACACAACACGUUACAGAACAUUUUUUAGAAUGAUCUAAUUUCUUCACCUUCCAAGAAAAGACAGCUCUUCUAGAAAACAAGAAUCUAUUGAAUGCCUACUGCUAAGCAAGAAUUGUUCAAAGUUCCUGGAUUAUAAAGACAAACAAGGUAUCAUCUUGGCCUUGGAGGGACUUACAGCAUUAAGACAAGUUAAAUCUUUUAGGUGAAUUCAAUGGAAAGAUAUCCAUUACAUCUUUGAUCAGUAGAGUCAUCAGUUCUACUUCAGAGGGCAGAAAAACCUGCAUAAAGACCACCUGAGAUGUUCAAGUAUCUCUCCUAAAUAUGGUAUGUAAGCAAGUAUUAGCUUGAUUUAAUCAUGCCACACUGUAUACGUAUAUCAGAAUAUCACACUGAAGCCCAUAAAUGGAUAUAAUUAAAAAUAAUAUUAAUGACUUUAACAACAACAUAGGAUAAACUUCCAAAUUCUCUUCCCUCUACCCU
rnacentral:lncRNA from 1 species